UGAACAUUACAUCACUCUAGUUUCACUCUCAAUCUCAAAUUCAGUUCAACAAAGUACCUUAUCAUUGAGAAUGAAUAAUUUUGACUUACAAAGAGUAGCAAGAACGAUUGGAUGCAGUUUUCACUAUUGCUAUUUCCUAGAGUGCUCCCUCCAAAAGUUAGCUCCUCUGCUUUCUCAAUGUCUUUUGACUGGUAAGGAGCUAUACUGUGAAUUGUAUAUU
rnacentral:lncRNA from 1 species